rnacentral:rRNA from 1 species
CCUUUGUUGUCCGACUCUGUUGCCUCCGGGGCGACCCUGCCUUCGGGCGGGGGCUCCGGGUGGACACUUCAAACUCUUGCGUAACUUUGCAGUCUGAGUAAACUUAAUUAAUAAAUUAAAACUUUUAACAACGGAUCUCUUGGUUCUGGCAUCGAUGAAGAACGCAGCGAAAUGCGAUAAGUAAUGUGAAUUGCAGAAUUCAGUGAAUCAUCGAAUCUUUGAACGCACAUUGCGCCCCCUGGUAUUCCGGGGGGCAUGCCUGUUCGAGCGUCAUUUCACCACUCAAGCCUCGCUUGGUAUUGGGCAUCGCGGUCCGCCGCGUGCCUCAAAUCGACCGGCUGGGUCUUCUGUCCCCUAAGCGUUGUGGAAACUAUUCGCUAAAGGGUGUUCGGGAGGCUACGCCGUAAAACAACCCCAUUUCUAAGGUUGACCUCGGAUCAGGUAGGGAUACCCGCUGAACUUAAGCAUAUCAAUAA